UACGUAGGGUGCGAGCGUUAAUCGGAAUUACUGGGCGUAAAGCGUGCGCAGGCGGUUGGCAAAGUCAGCUGUGAAAGCCCCGGGCUUAACCUGGGAAUGGCGGUUGAAACUAGUCGACUCGAAUCUGGCAGAGGGGGGUGGAAUUCCGACGGUGUAGCAGGUGAAAUGCGUAGAGGAUGAUGGAGGAACACCGAUGGCGGAAGGCAGCCCCCUGGGCUGAGCAUUG
rnacentral:rRNA from 1 species